GCCGUGUUCGGCGGUCACUGCUUCAACGACGGCCGCGCGUCGCUACGAUGGCUCAUCUCCGCCGCAAUGUUUAUAGGGAUGACACCCGGGCUUUAAGAUUAAAUCUAACGGCAGAGGUGUGAGAUAUACAAAAGAGAAUGGAAAUCAUCGUCGUGCUUUCAUUGUGGAUGCCUUUCAGGAUACAGCAGCAACUGGCCAUAAUUAGGUGCACACAGUUUGCUGCCAUGCUAAAAUGCCAUCUAAAUGCCAAACGGAGCUGGGAGGAACAAUAUGACGAAGAACAACUCAGAUGCUUCCUUUGCGGUGGUGAGGAAGUCCCCUCCAGAGCACGUGGGACACAUCAUUGGAUUGUGUGUGGGGUGAUGCGGUUUUUUUGUUGUUGUUUUUUUCCCCCCUCAUAAUAACUGCCUUGUGUUUGGGGCACUUGUUCAUCAUGCUUCCACAGCUAAUUACACUGGCUCAGCCAUUUAUUUAACACACAGCCCUUCUGACAUUGUUUAAGGCAGAUCUAAAGAAAACACCAUCACAGCAACUGCUCUGACCUAUCGUCAUUUCUUUCCAUCUUUUUUACCCUUCUCACUGUGGAUAAACAACCAUCCUCUCUUCCCUGACAGAAUGAGCUGAGCCAAGUAAUUCCUCCACUGACAGUAAAGUGUUUUACCUCCCAUGCCUGACGAAACAAACAAAGUGGGUGCUCCAAUUUUGUCUUUUGAUUUACACACAUUUUUUGUUUCAUCUGGGUUGGAGUGUUUUGUUCAGCCUCUUUGUCACUGUUUCUGGACAGGAAUAUGCAAUUCAUUGUUCUGUAAAGGCAUGUUUUUCCUCAAGUGUUCCCCACUCUUACUUACAUUGAGCCCUACAGGAAACUAAGCUAAUUUACAACACGAUUCUCAACUGGUCUCACUUUGGGACCAACAUAUUCCCACGGUCAUGAAGUCACGAGCCACUUUUGUAGAAGUCAAAGCAAGCAGAUUUAUUUUUCUUAUCACCAGUCUUCAAAAAAAAAAAAAAACACCCUUUUUAAAUGUAUCAAAAUCUAAUUACAUUCAAGAGCUAUAUUCAAUUGAGAGGAUAUUAUGGACAAAGGGAGGAAGUGGAUUGUAUUUAUUGUAUUUUUUUUAAUAAAAGAUAAGUUCCACAUUGAGUAUACAUGAAAUAUUUGAAUGAACACUAACACUUGACUUUUGUAAUUCAAAAUAAAUAUGAAUUGUGAUCAUCUUACCACCAUUCUCGUCACAUUGUAUAUUUUUUAUGUCACAUCCUGUAAUGACGUGACAGUAAGGCAAGGUUUUUUUAUUUGUGGGGGG